CCCUGGCCCUGGGCUGGGCUUUGGCUUGGAGCUCGACCUUCACCUUGGCUCUGGUGCCUGAGCCUGGCCCUGGUCUUAGAUCUGAGCUGGGCUUUGGCCUGGGGCUCAAUCUUGGCCUUGGCCUUGGUGACUGAGCCUGACUUUGGCUGGGGGCUAGGCUGGGGACCUGGCCCAGGCUGGGCCCUUGCUGGGCAGAGUGAAAGGUAAGGAAGGGCUGCCCCUUCCCUAUGUGCUGAGGCAGCCGUUGGCACAGCUAAAGUCAAAGGCCAAGCAGAGCCUCAGUGUCUAUGAGCACCACAGGUGUUCCCCACCCAGUGCCCAGGCUCAUGGCGUCCAACAUCAGAGGGCAAAGGGGAAGAAAUGAGCUUUUCCAGGCACUUAGCAGGGAAGAACUAUCAUCUCUCAACACCUGCAAUGUUCAGCUGAUGUCCUGAAUGCUAAUUUGUGAUUAUCCUUUGCUUAAUGUUUGUCCUUUCAACCGUUAUGGAUUGAAAUGAUUUUACUACAAUGUUUGGCUUAAUGACCUUCUGCAGCAGUGGACUGAACAGAAUGAAAUGUUUCAUAAAGUGAUUUUGUUAAUUUGCCUUUAAGUUCUCUGCUAUUAAGUCAAUAAGUUGCUAUCUCUCUUGCAUUUCAGCCGUGUUCAUAUCAUUUUUAUAGCUUAACGGUGGGCCGAAGGUAGCUCCUAUCAACAAAGGAUGCACCAACUGAUAUUUUGCCAUUUUGGUUGCUCACCGUAGUCCCCCUUGCCAAAACUCAGGUGUUCACUGGUAAUGUCCUAGACUAUGGUAUGUCAGAUCUCAAAAACUAGAGAGACUUGGGCCCGAUCAAUAUUUGGAUGAGCUACCUCGUUAGGUACUGCGGAAAGUGCUGCUGGUGAUUCAUUCAGUGGCAUUCAUCUGUCUAUGAGUCAGGGCUGAACAAAUGCCACUGCACAGCAUUGGUGGCAUUAUCCGGGGGCAUAAAACUGGAGAUCUGUGCCAAUUGCAGCUGUUAGGAGAUCACUGAUUUUCUUACCUUACUUCAGUUUUAAUAUGGGUUUCCAGAACUAGCCAACAGUUUUGGUGGAAUACAGCAAAGGGUUUCCACAGUUGCUUUUGUCAGGCACCGCUCUUUAAUGGUGGUGGGGCCAGGAACAGCAGCAGCGAUGGUGGCCAUGGGCAUUGCUGUAGGCAGCCACAGAUGCUGGCUUUGUGUCAGACCAUAUGGUUUUGAAUUGGUGCAUGCAGCACUGAUUGUACGUGCCCCACUGCCUUGAGAGCCCUGGGAGAGAGCAUCCCUCAUGCCUGCUCCAUGCUUCCCAGGGGUGCUGCUCCCUCAUGUCCCUUGCAGGUGAAAUUAAGAAAUCUGUGCAAUGUUUUGAGUGUAUGGGUGCAGACAUACAGCUGGAACAAGGGAAAGCUGAGAGUGUUUUGGACUCUUCUCCCUAUCCAGACACUGGUCCUAGUGAACUUCCUGGGAGGACCCAUGGAGACAGAAUUUAUUUACUGUAUCAUACCAGAUAUACAUCCAAGUGCUAAUGAUGAACAUUUACAAAAUUGAUGUUGUAGCUAAAGCCAAUAGAGAAGAGGAGAUAUAUUCAUCAGGGAAACGUUUUCAAAAGUACCCUCUUAAGAUACAGUUUUGACUCUAUAGUAUUGCACCCCUUCUGUGGCUCUCAUUUCUUCAGUCAAAUAAAGGCAUACUGCAUCUUCACCUGAGCUGCAUAACACUCACUGUGUUUGUCCGAAUAGCUUUCAAAGAGGCUGCUGAAGAGUAUAAAUUAUUUGCUGGUUUCUGAUUUGCAUGAAAGGAUUUGAACUGUAAAAAUCCCACUUUAAUAUCAGAAUGAUGUAUCAAAAUCAAAGUUUGAUUAAUGCUGGGCAUGAUUCAUUUCAAUGGUAAAAUACAUGUUUGUGGGAGAAAAGAAGUCUGAGAUUUAAUGGAUAUGAUCAGCUGUGUUUUCACAUAAUUUGGCAAACUAGUAGAAUUCAAAACACAUUGAGCAAUGGCAUAUAAUAACAUGUUUAUCUUGUCUAUAACUGGUGUUUGACACUUGUUAAAGAAUAAAUAUUGUAUGAUAUAUUUUAGCAUACCUUUGUCAAAAUGCUGAUGGAC